rnacentral:rRNA from 1 species
UACGUAGGGUGCAAGCGUUGUCCGGAAUUAUUGGGCGUAAAGAGCGUGUAGGCGGCCCGACCAGUCCGCUGUGAAAGUCCAGGGCUCAACCCUGGAAUGCCGGUGGAUACUGUCGGGCUAGAGUCCGGAAUGGGCGAGUGGAAUUCCUGGUGUAGCGGUGAAAUGCGCAGAUAUCAGGAGGAACACCGGUGGCGAAGGCGGGUCUCUGGGCAGUAACUGACGCUGAGAAGCGAAAGCGUGGGGAGCGAACAGG